UUAAGUCCCGCACGAGCGCAACCCUUGUCCUUAGUUGCCACCAUUCAGUUGGGCACUCUAGGAGACUGACCGGUGUUAAACCGGAGGAAGGUGGGGAUGACGUCAAGUCCUCAUGGCCCUUAUAUCCAGGGCUACACACGUGCUACAAUGGCCGGUACAAAGGGUCGCAAUACCGCGAGGAAGAGCUAAUCCCAAAAAGCAGUCCUAAGUUCGGAUUGGAGUCUGCAACUCGACUCCAUGAAGUUGGAAUCGCUAGUAAUCGUGGAUCAGCAUGCCACGGUCGAAUACGUUCCCGGGCCCUU
rnacentral:rRNA from 1 species